CGCAGGGUAGAGGAGUUCGGUCGUCCUCGCCGGCCUCAUAAGCCGGAGAACGCGGGUUCGAAUCCCGCCCCUGCUCCC
rnacentral:tRNA from 1 species